rnacentral:rRNA from 1 species
GAAGAAGGUGCAAGGCUGCGCGUUGUCAUUUAUAAACUAAUUGUUAGAGUUCUUAGAUUUGUCACAAAGCUUGAUGAUGGCAGCGAGCGCCAAGUUUCCGAACAUGAUGUGGAGUUUGAGGUUAACAUGAAACAUUUUACGGUUGAAAAAUUGAUAGGACUCAUUUGAUCAAAAAUUAUAUGGGGGGUUGGUCAAGAGGUCCAUAUUUUGUGUCAAGAUAAGCACUUUGAAUCAGUUGAGAGGAUUGAUAGCUAUUGGAAGUUGUUGACAGCAUUUCUUGAGAGAUGGGAAGAGAAAGAAUUGCUU